GAUGAACGCUGGCGGCGUGCCUAAUACAUGCAAGUCGAGCGAACAGACGAGGAGCUUGCUCCUCUGACGUUAGCGGCGGACGGGUGAGUAACACGUGGAUAACCUACCUAUAAGACUGGGAUAACUUCGGGAAACCGGAGCUAAUACCGGAUAAUAUAUUGAACCGCAUGGUUCAAUAGUGAAAGACGGUUUUGCUGUCACUUAUAGAUGGAUCCGCGCCGCAUUAGCUAGUUGGUAAGGUAACGGCUUACCAAGGCGACGAUGCGUAGCCGACCUGAGAGGGUGAUCGGCCACACUGGAACUGAGACACGGUCCAGACUCCUACGGGAGGCAGCAGCAGGGAAUCUUCCGCAAUGGGCGAAAGCCUGACGGAGCAACGCCGCGUGAGUGAUGAAGGUCUUCGGAUCGUAAAACUCUGUUAUUAGGGAAGAACAAAUGUGUAAGUAACUAUGCACGUCUUGACGGUACCUAAUCAGAAAGCCACGGCUAACUACGUG
rnacentral:rRNA from 1 species